AAAAAAAAAAAAAAAAAAAAAAAAUCUACCUUUCCAUCACCCAAUAAAAUAAUAAGUUUAAUGCGUUCCCAUGUGGAAGGCAACAAUUCAAAGAGUGACAGAUCAUUGCUUCCUAAACCAACUUCUAUACCCAAUCAUGCAUGCUUCUAAUCAAGGCAACACAAUUGUCUAGAGGAGAUGCAACUUACAAACUAGAUUCCAAGUUAAUCCUUACAAUGAAAUUUUGCCAAUGAAUUUCAAUUUCACCCAGAAAUACUUGAAAUAAGAAGAAUAUUUACAAUGACAAAUCAUGUCUGCAUGCCAUGAUAUGAAAGAAUAGAAUACAACGCGAGAAACACCCAGCCACAUUAGCAGCACAAGCACACACCCAGCCACAUUAGCAGCACAAGCACAACUACAAUAGUGAAUCCCAAUACCAGAGCAUUCUCCAAGUAACAACAGGCACAUCAGAGAAGCUUUGAUAUAACAUGACAUGAAGUCCAGAAUGCUUUAGAGGCAGCCCUAAGAAUUACUGGAUUUUGGUAUAUCCCAAUGGCAGUUGCCCCCCAGGAUGCUACAUUAUAGACGACUUUGCUUCCAUCCCAUGCCUUCCGAAGCUUACCUUUCUUCUUUUUUACAGAGAAUGUUUUGCUAAGGGCUUCCUGGAGU
rnacentral:misc_RNA from 1 species